CCCUCGCACCGCACGUCCUCCGCCUCCCUUCGCCUCCAGCGCCCCCUCCUCCCUCUCCAGCGCCGCCACAGCCGCCUGGGCGACGCUCCCACCCACCACCCAUGGUUGAGGUCGGCGAAGCGGCCCAUCGCGCGGCGCCUGGGGACGCUGCCUCCCUCCGCCGCCGCCAAAACCGGAUGGCGUGCUGUCCGGCGAGGGGCCCGACCUAUCGUCUUCGUCGCGCGUCCUGGGCUGACGGAGGGGCAGACGCCGAUGCCCACCAGCGGCGGCAGGCUCGAUCUGGAUAUUCAUCCUCGUGCCCAGUCGCCGCUCCUCGGCAUAUUCCUCUCCCCGCACCGCCGUUCGCUCUAUCGCGUCACCCGCACUGCCGCUCACCUCCGCCUCGUCAGCGCCUUCUGCUGCUACUGCCGCCGGCGCGUCUCCUAGCUCUUGAACGACCAAACCAUGCAUCGCUACUCCAUGGGAUUCUAAUUUGCCUUUGCAUGCUUGCAAGUUUGAUUGCUGGACCAGCUGCUGGACGUGGAGCACUGGAUCCGGCAGGCGGUGGUGCUCUGGGGCGUCGCCCCCCUCGUCGGCGCCUUCUCGCCGUGUACACUCACAAUUAUUGUACAGAUUGAUGCUACGGCUGUACUGCAGGCACACACACAUUUCUGAAUUUAGUCAACACUUAUAACAAAAUGUUCACCACAGAAUAAUCCAAUUUAUGCACUGCUUGUGUUACAUUGAGAAAUCAAGAAUGUGGCAGGUUAAAAUUUUCAAAGCCAAUUACUCCUAUGGUAAUUUAGAAAUUAUGUGCUUGUGAAUGAUGUUCCUUGAAUGACCAUAAAAGACGUUUGGUAGCUAAUUUCUAAUUUAUAGAUGAGGCUAAGUAUGUUAAAUAAAUUCAGCUUCUUCUUAGUCCUUGUAGUAUCCCUAUUGAUAUUAUUCCAAAUAAAUUCAAAUAAAUCCAAAGCCCUGGAGUACUUGAUCGCGUCAAAUCAUGGACAUCGCUCGUUGGCAUGCGGCACAGAUGGGCAGGGGCACCUUCGGCGGCGUAGAUGGGCCUUGCCCGCGCGACAGUUGAUGAGGCUGAGUGCCGUUGGUGGCUGGGUCCUAGGCUGCUGCCGCGAGCGACGGGGGACGGAGGAAGAAGGAAAGGGGGUAAUUAGCGUGAGGUUUACAGAGGACUCUUUUUUUGUAAAAAUGCCAAUGGACUAUGCUGGCGACAUUAUUUUUUGGACGGAGGGAGUACUACUUUGGUUGCAAAACUAGUAGACGACUAUUCAUAUUGUGCUGCCCUGCAAGUGAGGUUGCCCAUUAAGUAAUUUACUCUUUGGCUGCAUGUUUGGGUGUGUAGGGUUCUCACUGUUUGAACAACUUUCAAUAUUCUAAUUCAGCCGCGUGUACAGGUUUAAGAGUCAUCCUUUUAUAUGAAAAGGAAAAACACCUUUUGGUUUAACAAAAAACUUGUAUAUAUUUAGUUAGAGGCCUACUACAUUGUAGGAAGAGCUGGGCUAAUUAUGCACUAUUGUCAUUUAUUUCGUAUAUGUUAGAUUUUCUUACACAUUACCCUUAUUUUAACUAAUGAGCUUAUCCUGGCUGCCUGCCUGGCUGGUAAAGUUUCCAAACAAUAUAUCAAGAUCGUUUUUCUAUUUUUUUGGCCCCAAGACGUUACGGUCCACUUGCUAGAUAUGCACAUUCCUUCUUUAUCAAUCAAGCUUGAUUAUUAUCCAUGUUCUUUGCUUUGGUGGAUUCUUCUAUGCUUGCGUUCUUAGCCUUUCUGUUUUGGUGGAAUCUUCUAUGCUACUACCAAAGCGGCAUGUAAUAGGAUCAACAUGAUUUCUUUGCAUAUCUGCUCGUAAAAGUGGCACUAUGUCUAAGGUCAAUGAAUCAUCCAUCUCAGUUGUUCAAAUAUUCUUAGAUGAUACGUCAAUGAUUUAUGUGGAAGAUGUAAAUUUGUCUUGAAUUGAUGGUUUUCCAGCAAAAAUAGAUGGCAGACAAUAAUGGGCACUAUUUGAGAGCCAUGCAAUUCUGUCGUAUUCUUGGUUAACUCCAGUCUUGGUUGUCAAUGCAUUGUUGUAAUCAUAUUAUCAUAAUCUGAUUGUUAUUUCUAAUACGACUAAUCUUUCUAGGCUUAUGCUGAUUGCAGUCCUCUUGUGUUUGCAUUCCGUCUUACUAGAGUUCCAGUAAUAGACACAUUAUGGAAGUGGUGAGGGUCGAUGACUUGAUUUGCAUCAGUGAGAUGAAGAUAGCUGCCAUUGUAAAUGCCACUGUGCCAUAAAGCCAAGGAUUAAAGUUGUCUGGAGUGAACCGUGUCUCUGUGAGAGGAUCAUAACAAGAGGUAACACACUGCCCUUGCAUAAUAAUGUAGUAGUAUAUGGAGCAUAACAAACUGUGGUUGUGAUCAGACCUUGUAAAUUUUACCUUUCCUCCAAGAUCAUCCUCUCCUAAUAUGCCAUGUGUCGACAGUAGCAGGAUCAGGCUAAGCUUGCCCAUGUCAAUUCACACAUGAUAUAACUAAUCUGCUGUAUGGCGAAUUAAUUUAGCUCUGUUUCGGUGGCCAGCUGCUGAUAUCUUAUUUGUGGCAGACUUUCCCUUUCGGUUAAGUGAUAUACCCAAUAGCUGUAAAGAAAUAAAGUUGCAGUGUCGUGAUAUAUCAUUUUAUUUUUGAUUCUUUGCCUUGUGGUGUUCAGUACUUGUGGUUAGUUGAUGUUUGUUUUCUGAUUCUAUUGGUUUCUGUUAGUAGGGUUAUCUGACAUGGUUUGCAAUGUUAGUGCUGGUCUCAAGGUUUUAUAGAAGCAUUUGUGUGUUCUCAA